rnacentral:rRNA from 1 species
GACGUGCUAAUCUGCGAUAAGCGUCGGUAAGGUGAUAUGAACCGUUAUAACCGGCGAUUUCCGAAUGGGGAAACCCAGUGUGAUUCGUCACACUAUCAUUAACUGAAUCCAUAGGUUAAUGAGGCGAACCGGGGGAACUGAAACAUCUAAGUACCCCGAGGAAAAGAAAUCAACCGAGAUUCCCCCAGUAGCGGCGAGCGAACGGGGAGCAGCCCAGAGCCUGAAUCAGUGUGUGUGUUAGUGGAAGCGUCUGGAAAGGCGUGCGAUACAGGGUGACAGCCCCGUACACAAAAAUGCACAUACUGUGAGCUCGAUGAGUAGGGCGGGACACGUGGUAUCCUGUCUGAAUAUGGGGGGACCAUCCUCCAAGGCUAAAUACUCCUGACUGACCGAUAGUGAACCAGUACCGUGAGGGAAAGGCGAAAAGAACCCCGGCGAGGGGAGUGAAAAAGAACCUGAAACCGUGUACGUACAAGCAGUGGGAGCACGCUUAGGCGUGUGACUGCGUACCUUUUGUAUAAUGGGUCAGCGACUUAUAUUCUGUAGCAAGGUUAACCGAAUAGGGGAGCCGAAGGGAAACCGAGUCUUAACUGGGCGUUAAGUUGCAGGGUAUAGACCCGAAACCCGGUGAUCUAGCCAUGGGCAGGUUGAAGGUUGGGUAACACUAACUGGAGGACCGAACCGACUAAUGUUGAAAAAUUAGCGGAUGACUUGUGGCUGGGGGUGAAAGGCCAAUCAAACCGGGAGAUAGCUGGUUCUCCCCGAAAGCUAUUUAGGUAGCGCCUCGUGAAUUCAUCUCCGGGGGUAGAGCACUGUUUCGGCAAGGGGGUCAUCCCGACUUACCAACCCGAUGCAAACUGCGAAUACCGGAGAAUGUUAUUACGGGAGACACACGGCGGGUGCUAACGUCCGUCGUGAAGAGGGAAACAACCCAGACCGCCAGCUAAGGUCCCAAAGUCAUGGUUAAGUGGGAAACGAUGUGGGAAGGCCCAGACAGCCAGGAUGUUGGCUUAGAAGCAGCCAUCAUUUAAAGAAAGCGUAAUAGCUCACUGGUCGAGUCGGCCUGCGCGGAAGAUGUAACGGGGCUAAACCAUGCACCGAAGCUGCGGCAGCGACGCUUAUGCGUUGUUGGGUAGGGGAGCGUUCUGUAAGCCUGUGAAGGUGUGCUGUGAGGUAUGCUGGAGGUAUCAGAAGUGCGAAUGCUGACAUAAGUAACGAUAAAGCGGGUGAAAAGCCCGCUCGCCGGAAGACCAAGGGUUCCUGUCCAACGUUAAUCGGGGCAGGGUGAGUCGACCCCUAAGGCGAGGCCGAAAGGCGUAGUCGAUGGGAAACAGGUUAAUAUUCCUGUACUUGGUGUUACUGCGAAGGGGGGACGGAGAAGGCUAUGUUGGCCGGGCGACGGUUGUCCCGGUUUAAGCGUGUAGGCUGGUUUUCCAGGCAAAUCCGGAAAAUCAAGGCCGAGGCGUGAUGACGAGGCACUACGGUGCUGAAGCAACAAAUGCCCUGCUUCCAGGAAAAGCCUCUAAGCAUCAGGUAACAUCAAAUCGUACCCCAAACCGACACAGGUGGUCAGGUAGAGAAUACCAAGGCGCUUGAGAGAACUCGGGUGAAGGAACUAGGCAAAAUGGUGCCGUAACUUCGGGAGAAGGCACGCUGAUACGUAGGUGAAGCGACUUGCUCGUGGAGCUGAAAUCAGUCGAAGAUACCAGCUGGCUGCAACUGUUUAUUAAAAACACAGCACUGUGCAAACACGAAAGUGGACGUAUACGGUGUGACGCCUGCCCGGUGCCGGAAGGUUAAUUGAUGGGGUUAGCGCAAGCGAAGCUCUUGAUCGAAGCCCCGGUAAACGGCGGCCGUAACUAUAACGGUCCUAAGGUAGCGAAAUUCCUUGUCGGGUAAGUUCCGACCUGCACGAAUGGCGUAAUGAUGGCCAGGCUGUCUCCACCCGAGACUCAGUGAAAUUGAACUCGCUGUGAAGAUGCAGUGUACCCGCGGCAAGACGGAAAGACCCCGUGAACCUUUACUAUAGCUUGACACUGAACAUUGAGCCUUGAUGUGUAGGAUAGGUGGGAGGCUUUGAAGUGUGGACGCCAGUCUGCAUGGAGCCGACCUUGAAAUACCACCCUUUAAUGUUUGAUGUUCUAACGUGGACCCGUGAUCCGGGUUGCGGACAGUGUCUGGUGGGUAGUUUGACUGGGGCGGUCUCCUCCUAAAGAGUAACGGAGGAGCACGAAGGUUGGCUAAUCCUGGUCGGACAUCAGGAGGUUAGUGCAAUGGCAUAAGCCAGCUUGACUGCGAGCGUGACGGCGCGAGCAGGUGCGAAAGCAGGUCAUAGUGAUCCGGUGGUUCUGAAUGGAAGGGCCAUCGCUCAACGGAUAAAAGGUACUCCGGGGAUAACAGGCUGAUACCGCCCAAGAGUUCAUAUCGACGGCGGUGUUUGGCACCUCGAUGUCGGCUCAUCACAUCCUGGGGCUGAAGUAGGUCCCAAGGGUAUGGCUGUUCGCCAUUUAAAGUGGUACGCGAGCUGGGUUUAGAACGUCGUGAGACAGUUCGGUCCCUAUCUGCCGUGGGCGCUGGAGAACUGAGGGGGGCUGCUCCUA